rnacentral:rRNA from 1 species
CCUACGGGAGGCAGCAGUGGGGAAUAUUGCGCAAUGGGCGAAAGCCUGACGCAGCGACGCCGCGUGAGGGAUGAAGGUCUUCGGAUCGUAAACCUCUGUCAGCAGGGAAGAACGGUCACUGUGCUAAUAAGCAGUGAAUUGAGGGUACCUGCAAAGGAAGCACCGGCUAACGCCGUGCCAGCAGACGCGUUAAUACGGAGGGUGCGAGCGUUAAUCGGAAUUACGGGGCGUAAAGCGCUCGUAGGCGGUAUGUCAAGUCAAGGGUGAAAUCCCCGCGCUCAACGUGGUAACUGCCUUUGAAACUGGCAAACUGGAGUGUGUGAGAGGAUAGUGGAAUUCCGGGUGUAGGAGUGAAAUCCGUAGAUAUCUGGAGGAACAUCAGUGGCGAAGGCGACUAUCUGGCACAUAACUGACGCUGAGGAGCGAAAGCGUGGGUAGCAAACAGGAUUAGAUACCCCUGUAGUC